rnacentral:rRNA from 1 species
GAUGAACGCUAGCUACAGGCUUAACACAUGCAAGUCGAGGGGAAACGACAUCGAAAGCUUGCUUUUGAUGGGCGUCGACCGGCGCACGGGUGAGUAACGCGUAUCCAACCUGCCCACCACUUGGGGAUAACCUUGCGAAAGUAAGACUAAUACCCAAUGAUAUCCCACGAAGGCAUCCGAAUGGGAUUAAAGAUUUAUCGGUGAUGGAUGGGGAUGCGUCUGAUUAGCUUGUUGGCGGGGUAACGGCCCACCAAGGCAACGAUCAGUAGGGGUUCUGAGAGGAAGGUCCCCCCACAUUGGAACUGAGACACGGUCCAAAACUCCUACGGGAGGCAGCAGUGAGGAAUAUUGGUCAAUGGGCGAGAGCCUGAACCAGCCAAGUAGCGUGCAGGAUGACGGCCCUAUGGGUUGUAAACUGCUUUUAUAAGGGAAUAAAGUGGGUCUCGUGAGACUUUUUGCAUGUACCCUAUGAAUAAGGACCGGCUAAUUCCGUG